rnacentral:rRNA from 1 species
GAUGAACGCUGGCGGCGUGCCUAAUACAUGCAAGUCGAGCGAACGGACGAGAAGCUUGCUUCUCUGAUGUUAGCGGCGGACGGGUGAGUAACACGUGGAUAACCUACCUAUAAGACUGGGAUAACUUCGGAAAACCGGAGCUAAUGCCGGAUAAUAUUUUGAACCGCAUGGUUCAAAAGUGAAAGACGGUCUUGCUGUCACUUAUAGAUGGAUCCGCGCUGCAUUAGCUAGUUGGUAAGGUAACGGCUUACCAAGGCAACGAUGCAUAGCCGACCUGAGAGGGUGAUCGGCCACACUGGAACUGAGACACGGUCCAGACUCCUACGGGAGGCAGCAGUAGGGAAUCUUCCGCAAUGGGCGAAAGCCUGACGGAGCAACGCCGCGUGAGUGAUGAAGGUCUUCGGAUCGUAAAACUCUGUUAUUAGGGAAGAACAUAUGUGUAAGUAACUGUGCACAUCUUGACGGUACCUAAUCAGAAAGCCACGGCUAACUACGUG